rnacentral:rRNA from 1 species
UACGAAGGGGGCUAGCGUUGUUCGGAUUUACUGGGCGUAGAGCGCACGUAGGCGGAUCGUUAAGUCGGGGGUGAAAUCCUGGAGCUCAACUCCAGAACUGCCUUCGAUACUGGCGAUCUCGAGUCCGGAAGAGGUGAGUGGAACUCCUAGUGUAGAGGUGGAAUUCGUAGAUAUUAGGAAGAACACCAGUGGCGAAGGCGGCUCACUGGUCCGGUACUGACGCUGAGGUGCGAAAGCGUGGGGAGCAAACAGG